CAUUUCAGGUUAAGGAUUUAUAUAGAUCCAUAGUGCCAUUUGUGUUAUGAACAAUAAAGUGAAUUGGGAUGAUUUCAAUCAUGGAUUUGAGCUCAACCCUGUUUAUUGACUGUGAGAUAAGUCCACAUGCAACUUGCAUAGAUUGAAUCACGUAACACUAUCAUCUGGUAAAGAAAACUUAAUACCAUAUGUGUAGUUUGAACAAGUAAGUGAAGAUAAAAACAAUCAAGUGUAAGGUCAAAGGAAACUUCAAGGAAGUCAUCUUAGAUGGAAAUAUAUUUUCAAACAUCCUUGAUGCUUUGCCAAAUUAUGCUUGAACACGGGAUAAUGAUAGGUCAUAAUUUGAGUUAUAUCUGUCUCUCCAUCUUAAAUGAGAUUUUCUCUCCUUGAGUUUACAAGUUUUUUUGUAUAUAUAAUGUUCCAGCUUUGGUGGAAGCACUUUCUGCAGGAGUUCUAGUUGUUUUGUUUCUGCUACAAAAGUUUGGCACCUCUAGAGCGAGUUUUAUGUUUUCCCCAAUAAUGGGUGCGUGGACCUUGUGUACUCCAUUAGUAGGGAUUUAUAGCAUCAUUCAGCAUUACCCUAGCAUAUUCAAGGCUUUGUCACCUCACUACAUAUUCCGCUUCUUUUGGAGAAAUGGAAAGGAAGGCUGGCUGUUGCUUGGAGGAACUGUUUCUCUGUAUCACAGGUUCUGAAGCACUGUUUGCGGAUCUUGGUCAUUUUAACAGGAGCUCAAUUCAGAUUGCCUUUUUGCUACAAUAUAUCCAUCACUUGUUCUGACAUAUGCAGGGCAAACUGCAUACCUUAUCAAGAACCCAAAUAAUCAUGAUGAUGGAUUUUACAAGUUUAUACCUACAAUGAUUUAUUGGCCGAUCUUUAUCAUAGCCGCCCUAGCUGCUGUUGUUGCAAGCCAGUCAUUGAUAUCAGCCACCUUCUCUGUCAUCAAGCAAUCCGUUGUUCUGCAUUAUUUCCCCAAAAUUAAGGUGGUGCAUACAUCUUCUAACUAAGAGGGUGAAGUCUACUUCCCUGAAGUCAAUUACAUUCUCAUGAUUCUUUGCGUUGCAGUGAUACUUAUUUUUGGAGAUGGAAAGGAUAUCGGAAAUGCUUUUGG